GCCUUCGUAGCUCAGCGGUAGAGCAUCGGACGUGAUAUCCGAAGGUCGUGGGUUCGGUUCCCACCGAAGGCA
rnacentral:tRNA from 1 species